GAUGAAGAACGCAGCGAAAUGCGAUAAGUAAUGUGAAUUGCAGAAUUCAGUGAAUCAUCGAAUCUUUGAACGCACCUUGCGCUCCUUGGCAUUCCGAGGAGCAUGCCUGUUUGAGUGUCAUUAAAUUCUCAAGACCUGUCUGCUUUUUUGAUAGGUAUUGGAUUUUGGGGGUUGCAGGCUGUUUCAAAUAAAUAGCCUUGCUCUCCUUGAAUGUAUUAGUGGAGAAAAGCCAUUGAACUCCAUUGGUGUGAUAAAACCUAUCAAUGCCAGGAGCAAUAUCACUACUUUUCUCUGCUGUCUAACUGUGACUGUCUGUAUUAAUUAGUAUGGAUGGGGACAACUUGACCAACUUGACCUCAAAUCAGGUAGGACUACCCGCUGAACUUAAGCAUAUCAAUAAGCGGAGGA
rnacentral:misc_RNA from 1 species